rnacentral:rRNA from 1 species
GACGAACGCUGGCGGCGUGCUUAACACAUGCAAGUCGAACGGAAAGGCCCUGCUUUUGUGGGGUGCUCGAGUGGCGAACGGGUGAGUAACACGUGAGUAACCUGCCCUUGACUUUGGGAUAACUUCAGGAAACUGGGGCUAAUACCGGAUAGGAGCUCCUGCUGCAUGGUGGGGGUUGGAAAGUUUCGGCGGUUGGGGAUGGACUCGCGGCUUAUCAGCUUGUUGGUGGGGUAGUGGCUUACCAAGGCUUUGACGGGUAGCCGGCCUGAGAGGGUGACCGGCCACAUUGGGACUGAGAUACAGCCCAGACUCAUACGGGAGGCAGCAGUGGGGAAUAUUGAACAAUGGGCGGAAGCCUGAUGCAGCAACGCCGGGUGCGGGAUGAAGGCCUUCGGGUUGUAAACCGCUUUCGCCUGUGACGAAGCGUGAGUGACGGUAAUGGGUAAAGAAGCACCGGCUAACUACGUG